AUGGGCUUCAGGAGCCAGCGAGGGGGAGAGGCCGAGCCAAGAACACAGCCUGGGGGGGAGGCUGGCGGGACCGGGUGGGGGCGGGGCCGUCCUCGCCCUCCCGUGCCCCCGGCGGGGCUGACCGGCCCCCCCUCGUCUCUGCCCCUCCCCCCGGCGCUUAGCAGCCAUUAUCGGGGGAGCAGAUUGCAGCCCCCUCCCCCUCCCCCUCCCCGGGAAGCAGGCACAGCUGGGGCCCCGCCACAUCUGCCGCAUCAGCACGGAGCACAGCUGGGUGUGCCCAGAGCCGCGCGCCCCAAAACACAAAGGGGAGGGCGGGGGCCGAGGAGAGCCCAGACCCCGGAGACAGACACACUGACACCUCUGCCAACAGACACACGCUCCUCGAGGCGCCGCUACACCCACCGCCACGCACGCGCUGCCUCGGUGCCGACGGGAGAACCGACAAACACGCAAUUACUCGGCCCCGCCCGCCGCCCCCGCUCGCUCCCCGCCCCUCCUCCUCCUCCCCUCCGCUGCCUCGGCCCCCCCGGCUCUGGUGGAGGGAGCAGGGCCCCCCAGCGCCGCACACCUUCCGGGGCAGGUGGCGCAGGUGGCGAGGGGCCGAGCCCUGGGCGAGCCCGGCCCCCCCUCCGCGCCCGGACGCCCUCGGAGGCGCUGCCUGGGGCCGGGCGCUGGGGGGACCGCCCGGGCCGCGCCCCCGACUGUGGCGCCCGCCACGGGUUCCCCCGGCCGCCUCGAGGGGGCGCUGCGGGCCCGGUUCUCUGCCGGGAGCCCCGCGGCCCCCAGCCCGGCCCGCCCAGCGGGCACCCUCCGCGUGGCCCCGCCACCCUCGCACGCGCGGGGCGCGGGGGUCGCCGGGGACGCCAAAGUCCCCGUCCCCAGGGGACGGGGCCGACCGGGCGCCCCCCGUUUCCGCUCCCUGCCAGGCCUCGCCGCCCCCUGCCCCGAGUCCGUCGCGCCCCCCUCACAGCCCCCCGCCCCGGCCGGCGCGCGCCCCCGCCCCUGCCCCUCGGAGCUUUAAUCCCUCCUGCUGCUCUGCCGCCUUAUCUGCUCCCAGCAGCUUUCACUGCUGCAAAGCCCUCUCCCCCUCCUUCCCUGGAGCUUCUCCCCCUCCUUCCCUGGCUCCCUCUUCUCUCUGACCAGCACCCCCACUCCCAGCCCGUCUCUGCCUCUCAGGCCCCCAGGAUGACCCCUGGGUGA
rnacentral:lncRNA from 1 species